CUUAAAUGCCUCGGAGGAGCGAACCGUCAGCACCGCCGACGCCGUGACGAGAUUUACGGCCCACCACGACGACACCCCGCCCAUCCUUCGGUGUCAUCGUCGACGACGCGGGAAACACAUGGACGCAUGCAGUCGUGUUUUGUGGUGAACUUCUGAAUCAUUCCACGCAUCUCCACGAAGUGAAUUAUGACGAUUGGGCGAAGCUCCGGGUGUCUUACGGUAGUCGUAGGCAAUUCAAGGUGAAUUGGAAAAAUUGCUGGAGUGGAGGACACGCCUUGAAAGUGAGUUCUGGAACCAGCCAUCUUCCCUGUGGUCCUCCUUCUCGCAAAGUGAAGGCACACACAGUCCGACUUUGUACAGUGGUAUGGCAAGUCGAGACCCGCUUUCGGCUUGCUU